ACGGUGCUGAAGAACUGGCGCCCUGUGGCAUUGCUGUGCACAGACUGCAAGCUGCUCUCAAAAGCGUUAGCCUCCAGACUGGGGAAGGUGAUGGAGCAGGUGGUGCAUCGUGACCAGACGUACUGUGUGCCUGGGUGCAUGUCGGCAGCAAGACUAGCCAUUUUACUUACAGCAGUGGACUAAACCAAAAUUACAUUCAGGUUGACCUGUGUACCCCCCGUUUCUCUGUCCCUUCCAGGCCUGCAGACCUACAAGAGGACUGGAUGACCCUCGCUGUCACUCUCUCCAGGAAACAGACACUUAGACAUCGCUGGACUGCACGAGUGUCACCGUCCUGAGCCCUGGGUUUCCCCCUCGGCGAUAAAAAUUCUUUUUUUCCUCUCUUUUCUUUUUUUGCUUGUUUAUAUAAACAUCUCACUGCUAGGCAUGAUCUAUAGAACCACAGUAUGUGAGCAUCACUCUGAGCUCUAGUUAAUCCAGUAUGGAUGGUUACAGUGUUUCCCUCCAGCUCCUGCAGUCUGACAACCUCUUCUCCAGCUGUGAGCACCAGACCUGAGACACAAGAGGCCCGGGGGGGUGGCCCGGGUUAUUUCCCCCCCUUCUCGGGUAUCGCCCUCCGGCCUUCCUCCGCUGCCAGUGCACCUCCAGGCUCCAUCCAGGACAUCCUUGGAAGGUGACUUCAACUGACAACGGCAACUGUGACGUGGAGUUCCUGAUCGGGAUUUGAACCGAUAACCCCCCCACCACGGGGCAUGGCAUCUACCAGCGAGCCACAGGAUCUCACAAGGCUUUCUUAUUUUUUUUCGACAUUUAUCUCUCAGAUUUCCAACUUGCUGUGUGAAAAGCAGUAGCUUGAGCAAGAUUUGAACCCACAACCUUUUGAGUGCAACUACAUUGCUUUUCUUAGUGAGCCACCGUGGCUCAGGUCCAGCACCUUUUUUUUUGGACAUUUGAUUGAUGAUAAUAAGGAUGCCUGAACAUGAGUUUAAUAGUGAAGAUAUGUGCAUAAGCUACUAUGGCUUGUUUACAGUGAUCUUUUUUGUUUGGAUAUUUGACUUUGAGAUUCCCAGGCUUUCUACUGUUUCUACUGAUGCUUCUAAGACUCUUAGACCAGGAUCAUUAGAGGAAGAGGAAGACUGACUGUUCAGACCUGAAUAAACGGCAGUCUAAAUAAUACAGUC